UAAAUGAUGUACAUCGUAUUGUGGAUGCCCACUCCCCUGCUCCCAAGAGCAAGCAGGAAAAGGGUUUUCGUCUGUAUAUAUCCAGUUACCAGUACAAGGGAGGAAAGAUUCCAGUCCCGUGGAGCUGAUGCAUCACAGCCGCACAUGUGGCUGGAGUAACUUUAUGUAACCACUGUGUGGCUUUACUAUUCCAGUCAGCACAUUAUUCUCAGCUGAAGGUGUCAGUGGUCCCCCCUGUGCUAAGCUGUGCCAAGGGAGACAACGAUGGCACAAACCCAGAACUUUGGGUAUAAAGGCAGGCCCUGUGGAUAGGAUGGCUGUGUUGUCUGCUAAACCAAAGUGUGGAGCAACAACAGGAGCACACUCUACAAAGGCCUCAGUGGGGAUUUACCUGAUCUCUCCGUCCUUCAGGUGACAGAGGUGUAUAAGGACUUCUCUGCAGCUGAGGCGCCGAUGAUCUGCAGCAUGGGCAUCAGCUGUGAAAUUCCUCUGGCUGACUCUGCUCUUGGCCUGGUUCAAGCCGGAGGUCCAUUGUCCUACCAGCAACCAGCAACAGCGAAGAGAGACCUGUCCUUCCAUGCUGUUCUACCACCUACAUCUCUGCCUCUUCAGAAUUACCGCCUGCAGCCAUCCAGUUGCAUGUUUGUCUGUAGUGAACCACAACAGCUACAUCUUAAAAGUCUUGAGGUCACUUGGGACAUGGCACACAAAUUUGAGUGUGCUACCAGAGCACAAAGUUCAUGUGUUAAAUGGCAUCAGUUAGGGUGGCCUAGACUAACUGCCUCACGGUUCAGGUCAGAGAGAGCUCUGACGACAGUCUGGCUCCCCGGAUAGUGCAGGGGACCCGUCAGAUUGCAGCUAUGAAGAGGGGGCUCGAAAUGGAGGCAGAUGCCAUCUGGGAGUACUGCCAGUUGAAGAGGUUCAACCACUACCCCUGUGGAUUUGUAAUCCAGCCUGACUCCCCUUGGUUGGGGGCAUCUCCAGAUGGUUUAAUUUUUGACCAUUCAGAGCCAUGUCAGUUUGGUUUGAUUAAAAUAAAGUGUCCAAAUGUUAAAAGCUAUGUUGACUGCCCUUAUCUCAAAAUGAGUUUAGGCAAAUUGGAGCUCAAAAAACACAUGCUUAAUCCUCAAGUACAAGGGCAGAUGCUAAUAACAGGAAUUAAUUGGUCUGAUUUUGUUGUCUCAGCUGAGGAAGACAUACCACUUCAAAGAAUUGAUAAGGACAGUGACAUGUUGUCAAAGAGAAAGUGGACAGGUUUUAUUUCCAUUUCUACAUGCAGAAAUACAUGUAAUGUGUUCAAAUCCAGUCACUAUGCAUAAUGUAAAUAUGUUUUAUUUUGAACUUGUAUUAAUUUGAUGUAAUGCUUAAUGUGUAACAA